rnacentral:lncRNA from 1 species
GGCUGCAGGUCCUCAGGAGCCUGGUGCAGGAGAAGAGUGCGAAGGUACUGGCCGUGCGAGUGGUCACCUUGCUCUAUGACCUGGUCACCGAGAAGGUGAGCGCCACGCCUGCUCUGCUUCCCCUUUGUUUUGCUCUGUGUUUGCUUCUGACAUUUGACCAGCGUGACCCUUGGAUGCCUCUGUCCGGCUGAGUGGAGGGACAGAUGUUUGCUGAGGAGGAGGCUGAGCUGACCCAGGAGUCCUCCCCAGAGAAGCUGCAGCAGUACCGGCAGGUGCAGCUCCUGCCCGGCCUGCGGGAACAGGGCUGGUGUGAGAUCACGGCCCAGCUCCUGGCCCUUCCAGAGCACGACGCUCGGGAGAAGGUGCUGCAGACGCUGGGCGCCCUCCUCGCCACCUGCCGGGACCGCUACCGUCAAGACCUGGAGCUGAGCCGGACACUGGGCAGUCUCCAGGCAGAGUACCAAGCCCUGGCCUCCCUGGAGCUCCAAGAAGGUGAAGAUGACGGCUACUUCCGGGAACUGCUGGCCUCCAUCGACAGCUUGGUGAAGGAGCUAAGAUGAGGCUGCCACGCUGAGACAGGACUGGAUGGAUGCUGCUAGUGAGAGCUCUGGUGGGCUCUUCAGGGGACAGCAGCCAGGAGGAGGACUUCCCUACUGGGGCAUGAGCUUUUUCUGGGCAGAGCUGGCUGGGUCAUUAAACAGAGACAUGU